UACCUACCUCCAUGUGUGGCACAUGAGCGUGUAGGAUAUAAUUCCUCCAUCCUUGUGGAGGAGAAGAAGGGAUCUUGUCUCAUCGAAACGAAGAGUCGUGCAGUCUACAGAGCUCCACGUCAUCUGAUCUCAAAGCCUCUCGGGUGCUUUGAGAGGGAUGUGCUCUCUCUCUCUCUGUAAACCGCACGACCCUUCAUUGCGGUGAGCGUCUUACUUCCCAAAAACAGAAGGUGAUUCAUGGUAGAAGGAGACAAUAAAGGUGCCAGGUAUGCUUAUAUUCCCCAAGAAAUUCUCGUCUUUUUGAUGUAAAUAUAUACAGAUCCACUUGUUGCUCCCACGUCUAUUGUGAAGGUCCUGUGCUGCUAUUUACGCCACCCCCAAAAGGACCUCCCAAAGUGUGUAAACCCGGUUUUUGGUGUGACACGCCUACAUUUAAUCUGGUUGCUGAAAGAGAGUCAAAAUGCCGAAUUCGUUUCUUGAUUGUUCGGGAAAAACCGAGUUGCAAAACAUUGCGGGAUGUUUUGGAAGACAUGAAGCCUUUUUUUUUCCCAAACUUCAGCAGGUGGAUCUGGAUGUUUUUCAAGGUCUGCCCGCGUGCCUAACUUGCCCAUAUUUGCUUGCAUCAGAGUUCAUUUUGGAAAGGAUAUCAGUAGUUCUUCCAAUUACAAGGAGAUUAUAGUUUUCGAUCUUUUCAGCAUGGUCCUCUGGUAUGAGACAGGGAGUCCUCCACGUAAACAGGCUCUUUGUGAGCGCCGUGGCCAAGUUCAUAAUGGUUGAAUUGAUUUUUCCACUCAAUGAUAAUAGGCUUAGGGAUGCUGAUGAACAAGUCACUGGGUUGGGAUGAUAUAAAAAAUUACUCAUUGACUAAGUCAUCCACCAAGAUGUUGUUGCUAUCAGUUCCGCAAAAUUUUUGGCUGUUCAUUGGAUAAGAAUAGAAUAUUUCUCGACUGCAACCAUUAGAUCGGAACAGAAUACUCAAAGCUAACAUGAUCAUGACAUUUCUCUAUCUUAGAAAUAAAAAAUGACUUUGGUUGUAACUAUCGAGCGGAAUGCUCUUAUGAUCCUAACUGUCUGAUCUUGCAGAUUCUGUAUGUAUGCUUGCAAUUGAAAAUAAUAGUGAGAUGCGAUUAAUUUCUACUUUCUCAUA